rnacentral:rRNA from 1 species
GAUACUGGCUCAAGAUGAACGCUGGCGGCGUGCCUAAUACAUGCAAGUCGAACGCUUCACAUUUGUGAAGAGUGGCGAACGGGUGAGUAAUACAUAAGUAACCUGGCAUCUACAGGGGGAUAACUGAUGGAAACGUCAGCUAAGACCGCAUAGGUGUAGAGAUCGCAUGAACUCUAUAUGAAAAGUGCUACGGGACUGGUAGAUGAUGGACUUAUGGCGCAUUAG